rnacentral:rRNA from 1 species
GACGAACGCUGGCGGCGUGCCUAAUACAUGCAAGUCGAACGCUGAAGGAGGAGCUUGCUCUUCUGGAUGAGUUGCGAACGGGUGAGUAACGCGUAGGUAACCUGCCUGGUAGUGGGGGAUAACUAUUGGAAACGAUAGCUAAUACCGCAUAAUAACAGUUGUUGCAUGACAACUGUUUGAAAGGUGCAAUUGCAUCACUACCAGAUGGACCUGCGUUAUAUUAGCUAGUUGGUGGGGUAACGGCUCACCAAGGCGACGAUACAUAGCCGACCUGAGAGGGGGAUCGGCCACACUGGGACUGAGACACGGCCCAGACUCCUACGGGAGGCAGCAGUAGGGAAUCUUCGGCAAUGGACGAAAGUCUGACCGAGCAACGCCGCGUGAGUGAAGAAGGUUUUCGGAUCGUAAAGCUCUGUUGUAAGAGAAGAACGAGUGUGAGAGUGGAAAGUUCACACUGUGACGGUAUCUUACCAGAAAGGGACGGCUAACUACGUG